rnacentral:lncRNA from 1 species
GGAAACUUGCAAGCGAGACAGCAGGGAGUGUCAUUAGCGAUGUAACAGGCCGACCUGUUUGGUCCGGGAACGUAACCGCUCAAAAUGGCUCUCGCAGACCGGCCAGGACAGGUCUGCGGCCCCGCGCGAGGAGACACGGUGGACCUACCGUUCAGGACCGAGGACCCGCACCCCAGGACCCCACCUAGCGAGCCGCAGCCUGGCUGCCUCGGGUUGGGACAGCACGCCCUGCACACAGACUCAAGCGGCCCUCCGGGACCUGCGCAGGUGGCGUCGCCCGGCGUUGUCUCCGGAGUCGAUUCCGGCCGGGGCACCUCCCCGGGCGACCAGGCCCCUUCUUGAUCAUCGCUGGUACGGAUGAGAGCGGCAGUGGGCAUUUGGAAAGCACCUGGGGCCGCGCCCGGGCGCAGUGCCCCCGUGUGGCCUCCCACCCCGGGCGGGCAGGACGAUUCCUGCCCAUUUGGAAGACCAGGAACCUGCGCGUUCACAGGGUUCG